rnacentral:misc_RNA from 1 species
GAUGAAGAACGUAGCGAAAUGCGAUAACUAGUGUGAAUUGCAGAAUUCCGUGAAUCAUCGAGUCUUUGAACGCACAUUGCGCCCCCUGGUAUUCCGGGGGGCAUGCCUGUCCGAGCGUCAUUGCUGCCCAUCAAGCACGGCUUGUGUGUUGGGUCGUCGUCCCCCCCUCCGGGGGGGACGGGCCCUAAAGGCAGCGGCGGCACCGCGUCCGAUCCUCGAGCGUAUGGGGCUUUGUCACCCGCUCUGUAGGCCCGGCCGGCGCUUGCCGAACGCAAAACAACCAUUCUUUCCAGGUUGACCUCGGAUCAGGUAGGGAUACCCGCUGAACUUAAGCAUAUCAAUAAGCGGA